UGACCUGUGAUCCAGUGAUUGACAGGAGAGGAAAGACUGGCCAACUUUGUUAGCUCUUCGUUAGGAUAUGCUCGAGAGGACAAAAGAUUUUGCACCUCGUUAUUGUUGGACCUCUGUGUGGAAACAGCGAACGGGACGUCAUAAGGGAAUAAUUUCAUGUCUGCAAGCCGCUGGAUGAUCAGUUUGGAGGGCAAGGUAUUUUAUGAGCCUGAGCAGAUGCAUGACUUUGGCAGCACCCUUGCUGGCUUCUUUGCGUCAUACUACGUUUUCAACCUUGAGUAUCAGGAGUCAGCGUCCAUCACACUGGAGAUGAUACAGAGGUUCUUUGUGAGGAUCAAUCCAGACAUGGGAACAAAAUGCCCUGCAAAACUUGGUACAAGCCGCAAGACAGGUCAUGUCGUAAAGAGGAAGGUUACAAGCAUCAGCCCUCGGAUCACCACCUUCCUCCAGCGGCUCUCU